rnacentral:rRNA from 1 species
ACGAUGGAUACUAGGUGUAGGAGGUAUCGACCCCUUCUGUGCCGGAGUUAACACAAUAAGUAUCCCACCUGGGGAGUACGAUCGCAAGAUUGAAACUCAAAGGAAUUGACGGGGGCCCGCACAAGCAGUGGAGUAUGUGGUUUAAUUCGAAGCAACGCGAAGAACCUUACCAGAACUUGACAUCCCCGGAAUCCCGCUGAGAAGUGGGAGUGCCUUCGGGAAUCGGGUGACAGGUGGUGCAUGGUUGUCGUCAGCUCGUGUCGUGAGAUGUUGGGUUAAGUCCCGCAACGAGCGCAACCCUUGUUGUUAGUUGCCAUCAUUUAGUUGGGCACUCUAACGAGACUGCCGGCGAUAAGUCGGAGGAAGGUGGGGAUGACGUCAAAUCAUCAUGCCCCUUAUGUUCUGGGCUACACACGUACUACAAUGGCUGAUAACAGAGGGAAGCGAAGUCGCGAGGCCAAGCAAAUCCCUAAAAACAGUCCCAGUUCAGAUUGCAGGCUGAAACUCGCCUGCAUGAAGGUGGAAUGCUAGUAAUCGCAGAUCAGAAUGCU